rnacentral:rRNA from 1 species
GGACCCGCACAAGCAGUGGAGCAUGUGGUUUAAUUCGAUGAUACGCGAGGAACCUUACCAGGGCUUAAAUGUAACGGGACAGAUCUAGAGAUAGAUCCUUCUUCGGACUCAUUACAAGGUGCUGCAUGGUUGUCGUCAGCUCGUGCCGUGAGGUGUCAGGUUAAGUCCUAUAACGAGCGCAACCCCCAUCGUUAGUUGCCAAACGAGUAAUGUCGGGAACUCUAACGAAACUGCCGGUGCAAAACCGUGAGGAAGGUGGGGGAUGACGUCAAAUCAUCACGGCCCUUACGUCCUGGGCUACACACGUGCUACAAUGGUCGUACAGAGAGCAGCCACUACGCGAGUAG